CUACUCUAAUAAGGCUUUAAUAUCUGGAGCUCAUAGGUGGGAGAUAAAGUAUGCAUACUUACAAGACAUUUAUUGCAUAGUCAAACCAUGGAUCCAGAGAAACAAGUCAAUAAGUCAAAUCAAGAUGUGCAUGUAUGGCGAAUGAAUGGUGUAUGGUGAUGAUGGUGAUAACAAUGGUGAAAGUCUAAUUCUACUUGUGCUCUUUUGAGCGAAUACAUACCUUUCUUGCUCUUUUGAAACUUUUUUGAGGAGAAUUAGAUGCUCUAUAUUUUCUUUUUCUUUCCUCUCAGGUGGGUAUCUUGUAUCCCUAAUUCUACUGUUGGACACUUGUCCAUUUUUUACCUCUCGUCUCACUUUUUCUUUUCUUUCGAGGUUCCGGUCACUUGCCCCUUUUUAUUUCCUCGUAUCUUCUCU
rnacentral:lncRNA from 1 species